GAUGAACGCUGGCGGCGUGCCUAAUACAUGCAAGUCGAGCGAACAGAUGAGGAGCUUGCUCCUCUGACGUUAGCGGCGGACGGGUGAGUAACACGUGGAUAACCUACCUAUAAGACUGGGAUAACUACGGGAAACCGGAGCUAAUACCGGAUAAUAUAUUGAACCGCAUGGUUCAAUAGUGAAAGACGGUUUUGCUGUCACUUAUAGAUGGAUCCGCGCCGCAUUAGCUACUUGGUAAGGUAACGGCUUACCAAGGCAACGAUGCGUAGCCGACCUGAGAGGGUGAUCGGCCACACUGGAACUGAGACACGGUCCAGACUCCUACGGGAGGCAGCAGUAGGGAAUCUUCCGCAAUGGGCGAAAGCCUGACGGAGCAACGCCGCGUGAGUGAUGAAGGUCUUCGGAUCGUAAAACUCUGUUAUUAGGGAAGAACAAAUGUGUAAGUAACUAUGCACGUCUUGACGGUACCUAAUCAGAAAGCCACGGCUAACUACGUG
rnacentral:rRNA from 1 species